UGGGGAGUAUUGCACAAUGGGCGCAAGCCUGAUGCAGCCAUGCCGCGUGUGUGAAGAAGGCCUUCGGGUUGUAAAGCACUUUCAGCGAGGAGGAAGGUGGUGAACUUAAUACGUUCAUCAAUUGACGUUACUCGCAGAAGAAGCACCGGCUAACUCCGUUGCCAGCAGCCGCGGGUAAUACGGAGGGUGCAAGCGUUAAUCGGAAUUACUGGGCGUAAAGCGCACGCAGGCGGUUUGUUAAGUCAGAUGUGAAAUCCCCGGGCUCAACCUGGGAACUGCAUUUGAAACUGGCAAGCUAGAGUCUCGUAGAGGGGGGUAGAAUUCCAGGUGUAGCGGUGAAAUGCGUAGAGAUCUGGAGGAAUACCGGUGGCGAAGGCGGCCCCCUGGACGAAGACUGACGCUCAGGUGCGAAAGCGUGGGGAGCAAACAGGAUUAGAUACCCUGGUAGUCCACGCUGUAAACGAUGUCGA
rnacentral:rRNA from 1 species